GAUAAUGUAAAUCAAGAUAGAAGCUGAAUGAAUGAUGGUUGACAAUGGUCUUUGAGAAACAGCUGUAGAAAGGUUUUUGGAGAAUCAGUUCUGGAACUCGUGUAGACUACGAUGAACAGUUACAGUUGCCAGAUUUGCAGCGACGACGAACAAUGAUACGAGAAGGUGGAACGAUGUAGAACUCGAAGGGAAAUGAAUGAAUGAAUUGAUCUAGGGGUGUUUGUGUAAUAGACACAAGAGAUAAUUUUUUUUAUUAGAAAUUGAUCUAGGGUGUUUGUGUAAUACGCACAAGAGAGAGAAUUGAUCUACGGGUGUUUAUGUAAUAGACACGAGAUUAUUUUUUUAUUUUUUUAAACUGACCUACGAGAGAGAAAUUGACAGGGGUGUUUAUGUAAUACGCACAAUUAGACUGGCCAUUUUACUGAAAGGGUAAAGAGGUAAAAGGACGAAAUGGGUUGAAAUUUUGACCGUUGCAAAAAGACAAAAUAGUGCCACGUGUCGCAUGUAUAUUGGGUCGUUUUUUGAGUCGGACCAUACGAAUCGGUCCGGAGCACGACCAUACAUCUAGUCAUGAAGAAUAAGUGAAAAAAUUGACAAAUUCUAUGGUACACUCAAAAAUUUGAGUGUAUUGGUACACCCAAUCAACAAAUUAAUAGUUAA
rnacentral:lncRNA from 1 species